AGGAGAUAACAAUGGAUGGCCCCAUCUUUUUGACAAGUAUUUUGGGAUGCCCAACAUCGACAUCGGGACCAAGUCUGAUAAAUGUUUGCUGGUGGCUGUUCCAGAGCUGUGUCAGUGCAGAGAUCUGGAGCUGGACUGUGACGGUGCCCAGUUUCACCAUGUCCCAGCCGUGUCCGUUAACGUCACCAUGAUGUCCCUGCAAAGGAACCGACUUCGGAUAUUGAACGGUGACAUAUUCUAUAAGUACCAGAGUCUUCAGAAACUGUA